rnacentral:rRNA from 1 species
UGGGGAAUAUUGCACAAUGGGCGCAAGCCUGAUGCAGCCAUGCCGCGUGUGUGAAGAAGGCCUUCGGGUUGUAAAGCACUUUCAGCGGGGAGGAAGGCGUUAAGGUUAAUAACCUUGGCGAUUGACGUUACCCGCAGAAGAAGCACCGGCUAACUCCGUGCCAGCAGCCGCGGUAAUACGGAGGGUGCAAGCGUUAAUCGGAAUUACUGGGCGUAAAGCGCAUGCAGGCGGUUGAUUGAGUCAGAUGUGAAAUCCCCGGGCUUAACCCGGGAAUUGCAUCUGAUACUGGUCAGCUAGAGUCUUGUAGAGGGGGGUAGAAUUCCAUGUGUAGCGGUGAAAUGCGUAGAGAUGUGGAGGAAUACCGGUGGCGAAGGCGGCCCCCUGGACAAAGACUGACGCUCAGGUGCGAAAGCGUGGGGAGCAAACAGG